CGACGCAGAGUCUUCUGUCCGUUGGGGAGAUCUCAAAGGAAGCAGGAACAAGGACAAGGUGUUGUGGAAAACCCAUUGCACCGGGUACCACGCACAAGCCUCUGCUCACCAGCAGGAAUGAGAGCCAUGAGUCGUGGAAAACCCGUUGCGCAGGUUAGCAAGCCUCUGCUCACCAGCAGGAACGAGAGCAGUGUACUGUGCAACCUCCUGCAAACAAUCACUGAGCAAACAUCCAUCUCAGCUAGGCCCAAACCCCCAAACCAAGUCCCUUGUGAUAUUCAGGGUCUCAGUCUCUGUCCUUGAGACGGUUGUGAGACAGAUGAGGGAAUCUUCGGACCGUCUCUUACACCACCCCGUGGCUCACAAUCGUCGAGGUCUUUCUGCACGAUGUUGUAGUGCUGCUGCAAAAUUCUUCGUUGAAGUCUUCAGGACUCGUUACAGUUGGUAGUAUAUCCCAGAAAAAACAGAGACAGGUAGUAGGGAAAAGAUAAGGGACAGAAAAAGGAAAAAGA